GCUGGAGUAGCGGAAUUGGUAGAUGUACCAAUCAGACUUAGAAUUUGGCACCGUAAGGUGUGGGGGUUCGGUCCCCUUCACCUGUG
rnacentral:tRNA from 1 species